CCUACGGGAGGCAGCAGUGGGGAAUAUUGCACAAUGGGGGAAACCCUGAUGCAGCGACGCCGCGUGAGUGAAGAAGUAUUUCGGUACGUAAAGCUCUAUCAGCAGGGAAGAAAAUGACGGUACCUGACUAAGAAGCCCCGGCUAACUACGUGCCAGCCGCCGCGGUAAUACGUAGGGGGCAAGCGUUAUCCGGAUUUACUGGGUGUAAAGGGAGAGUAGACGGCAGCGCAAGUCUGGAGUGAAAGCCCAUUGCUUAACCAUGGAACUGCUUUGGAAACUGUGCAGCUGGAGUGCAGGAGAGGUAAGCGGAAUGCCUGGUGUAGCGGUGAAAUGCGUAGAUAUUAGGAGGAACACCAGUAGCGAAGGCGGCAUACUGGACUGUAACUGACGUUGAGGCUCGAAAGCGUGGGUAGCAAACAGGAUUAGAUACCCUAGUAGUC
rnacentral:rRNA from 1 species